rnacentral:rRNA from 1 species
GAUGAACGCUGGCGGCGUGCUUAACACAUGCAAGUCGAACGAAGCAUUUGCGACAGAUUUUUUCGGAAUGAAGUUGCUUAUGACUGAGUGGCGGACGGGUGAGUAACGCGUGGGUAACCUGCCUUGUACUGGGGGAUAGCAGCUGGAAACGGCUGGUAAUACCGCAUAAGCGCACAAUGUUGCAUGACAUGGUGUGAAAAACUCCGGUGGUAUAAGAUGGGCCCGCGUCUGAUUAGCUAGUUGGUGAGAUAACAGCCCACCAAGGCGACGAUCAGUAGCCGACCUGAGAGGGUGACCGGCAACAUUGGGACUGAGACACGGCCCAGACUCCUACGGGAGGCAGCAGUGGGGAAUAUUGCACAAUGGAGGAAACUCUGAUGCAGCGACGCCGCGUGAGUGAAGAAGUAAUUCGUUAUGUAAAGCUCUAUCAGCAGGGAAGAUAGUGACGGUACCUGACGAAGAAGCUCCGGCUAAAUACGUG